AUCUGACUGUGAUUGAUGUAUCCCAAGGUUCCUAGAUCUCACCGAACCGACCCUGCCAAGGAGACCCGGACUCUGGCUGUGGGUCGCUCACAGUAGGAGCCGACGGUUCAGUGUAGAAAUACAGUGUGUGGUGUUUGUAAUUGACUGAUUGGUGGGGAGGGGCGGGAUCCCCAGGUGGAGAGGCAGGGAUUUUGGCAAGAAGGAAGCAACACGGGUGUGGUUCAAGAUGCCUUCUCUCCCUGGGCAGUAGCAACCGGGGGGCUGGUCUGUGCUCAGGCGUGGGGGUCCAGAGUUAGGAUUCUGCUGCACAGGUCUCCCGGCUCAGCGCCCCCGCCUCCCUAGGAGGCUCGCCUCCUUUCUCAAUCUCUCUUUGUUUUGCCACGUCUUGCCUUUUCCUGACCGCAUUGUGACAGCUGACUCCCAUCCCGAGGGAGGUGACGUACCCAGCUGCCGCGGAAGAUGGUGGCUUCCACCUGGCUGUCUGAACAUCCCCAGCCCAGUCUUUUCCUUUACCACUCCUGUAUUCUGUCUGAAUCAUUCUCUGCUUCCUGGGCCAAAGCAGCCAUGGUAGAGACUGAACACAGGGCAGGCCCUGAUAGGUCAAAACCGCACUCCCAAAGGCUUCGCCUGCCCCAGAGUAAGCCGAGGAGGAUCUACAUAUAAGACCCUGGCUUUAGAGACCUCGCCUUCAGUCGGCAUCUGCGCUCUGAGCCUGUGCCCUCGGAGUCCCAAAAAUGGCCUUGAGACCACAGAAGCCCUUGGAGAAGACCCCCAUCAAAAGCUUGGCAUUGCCCUCUGGCACACGUGGGCCUUCCCAGGCUUACUUGACACAAGAUGCUUCCCUGAGCUUAAUGAGGCCCCUUCUGAGGGAGUUUUUCCACACUGCCCUUUACUUUCUCAGUCCCAUUUCAUUUCCCCCAUCCUGCUUCUAAAGCACGUGGCAAAUUCACUCAACAAAUAUUUAUUGAGUACUUACUUGUGUCAGGCACUAUCAUUAGGCUCAAGGAGAAAGCGUGGGGGGGAGCAGAGGGACCUGGGAAGAGCCCUGAGCCAGCCUUACAUCUCUAACCACUCUGAGAACAUUUCCGAAUUCUCUCCAAUUAUCAGACGUUGCCUAGGGAUGUCCCAGAGAGGGGCUUGGCUUGCUUAUUAGUUACCCCGGUGACACAUAUGCUUAGCUGCUUAACUGGUGCUGACCUGAGGCAGGACAAGAAACCGGAACAGUGUUUGCCUCUGUGAGCAAAAAUGGGAUGGAGAGAGGGCGGAGAGAGCCCUGCACCUGGGGCCCAGGUGACACAGUCAGCCACAUCCCCUCUGGGGCAGGCUGGUGGCCCACUCCAACUCCCCCUGAGAGCGAAGGCACACUUUGAAUGCACCAGGUUCUUUUUACAGUCCUGGGAGAGAAGCCACAGAACCUCGUUCCUGUCCUCCUCAGCCUGAGAGCCCCCAGCGUUUCUGGGCCAAGAGCUGGAGUGGCUCCGCCCUCUCCGGGCCACCUGGAAUUGGACUCAGGCAUCCCUGUCUUUGCAGGAACCAGGUGUCCCGAGCGCACUGGACAUACCUCAGAGAGAGAAUAUUUGUUCUGGGUUCUGUGCCUGCCUACAGACCCUAAGGGUGUGGCUUUAGGGCAGGGAAGAUAUGACCAGGCUUAUUAGCUUGUGGGCCAGCCACAAGGGUUUGUGGAGCUCUCCAUCCCACAGAUGUUCUGACCUUCCGCCGAGAGGCAGGCAGUGCCAGCAGGGAGGAGGGGAGCUGCAAAGCUGAAAUCUAGGGCACUGUUUCCUCCCCAUCCUCCUCUUCAUAGGGAAUAUAGACAUUUGUCUUGUCUGUCUUCAACCUACUUUUCCUUUUUUACAUUUCACAUCCUUUCUGUGCCACCUCUCCACCCAGGAGACCAUGUAGCAUGGUGGAAAAAGUCCUGGAGGGCAGUCAGGAGUUCUGGGUGGCCAUCCUGGCUCAACCCCUAACUCACCACGUGCCACUGAGCUAGUCCCAUUCCCGCUUCGGGGCCUCAGUUUCCUCACGUGCAAAGGGAAGAGGAUAAAGCAGAGGCUCUCCAUGCCCUUUUGCCACUCUGCCAGCCUACAGAUCUUUGUUUUCCCUUCUUUUGCUUUCUUGGGAUCUUUUCCAUCUGAGGGUAUAGGAAGUGCCAAGACCUGUUUCAGUUUUUGAAUCCUGCAAGCACAUUCCAAGACUGGCCUGAAACUGCAUGAUCAACAUCACUCUAAAUAUAUACUUUUUUUUUUUUUUUCCAAAAGCACCUUCCCAACCAACUGCGAUGCUGUCCUGGUCCUUUUUACUCGCACCCUUCUCUCCUCUCUUGUCCCCGCGCUCCCCCACCUCAGUGCUCCGUGCUGUAUGCGUGUGCUCUCUGUUCUUGUAUACUCAAUAAAAGUGAAAUAAAUGUGUUUGAUGCUGAACCAC
ensembl:lncRNA